UUAAGCCCACGUUUUCUGGACUUGGUGAAGGUCAACACGGGCUAGGUCUGGCCUGUUUCAGCCCUCUCCUCCUCUUUCCUUCUUCCAAAAAUGAAAUGCACCUCUGCUGAAAAUCAAACCUCUGACCACCCAGCUAAGGGCUUGACCUUCUUCCACCACACCUUUGCUUUUCUUUAAUAUUUUUUUUUUCAAAUUUUGAUAUCCUAAACGGUGCCAUGGAAAUCCCAGAAACCUGCCACCACCUUUACCACCAAGCGGAAACGCCAACACCAGGAAGAUCCUUGUCAGCUGACUUGGAUCUCUUCUCCACUAUACCUCGGCUAGAAACCCAAAGAUGAACCCUUAACUCGAACCUAAACCACCCGAACUUUCGAAACUAUCCUUGGUUCUUUCCCUCAAAACCUCAAGAACCAAACGAUUAAUGAUCCCUUUCAACCUCCCACCAUUCUUUCCAUUUUUUUGCUAUAUUUUUUGUGUUGCUAACGGCUGCUAGUUCCAGGGCCCUUUUUUCUUGGGGUUUUCUCUUAAGGAAGAUUAGUUGGGAAUUGGAAGUGGUGGUUAGAGUCUAGGUCCUUAGACUCUAGGAGAUCAUCGAAAUCAUCAUCAUUGCCAUGGGUUUUGUUCUUCCUCUGAUACUUGGAGGUGCUGCAGAAAACCAAAUGGGUUGGCAUUUUGUCUUUUGAGUUUACUAAGCCUGCCUGAAACAACAGAGGAUGCAGAAUGAGAAGAAUGAAGAAAAUGAAAUUGCAUUGUAUGCCAUGAUUAAGCUAUAGCUUCUUAAUUGCUUUCGUGGACACAGCAUCUGCUCAUACGCUGUCCCUACUUAUAGCCAACUUACAAUGCCAAAAGAAAAGAAUCCAAGAUUAUGAACAGAAUAGUUCAAUAGCUAGGUCUUGUAUUGUGCCUAAACAAUCAGUCUUUGUUUGCAAUAUGAGUUCACUGGCUAGCUUAAACAAUG